CUCCGGUUAACCGGAUGGGAGGAGUCCGUCCGGCCGGAGAUAAAAGGAAGACGGACCGGUUCCAUCUUUCACUUCCUUCUCUCCUCUGGUCGAGAUGGAGAAAGAACCAGGAAGUGUUUGCUGCACAGGUGGCAGGAGACUGUGGCAAGACUCCAUGCGGGACCCAUCCAGGGUGGGCCGGCUAAGUCUUCGUAGCAGCUGGAAAGCCCAUUGGGGUGUGUGAUCUAACUGAGGAAGGAUGCUCCUUCAGCGCCUCAUCAUUUGACCUCUACUUAGAGCAACGUUCUCUUGCAGAAAAACCUUGGAUUGGAAACGUGGAGAGGAGUCGCAAUGAAGUCUUUCGAUGAUUCGUUGACGCUUCAGCAUCAAGAUUGGUGUGUUCCCAUUGACGGUUCUGAUGAAGAAAGUUCCCUCAUUGAGCCAGGUGAGUGU